rnacentral:tRNA from 1 species
GCCCCGGUGGUGUAGCCCGGCCAAGCAUACGGGCCUUUCGAGCCCGCGACCCGGGUUCGAAUCCCGGCCGGGGCACCA